UACGUAGGGGGCUAGCGUUGUCCGGAAUCAUUGGGCGUAAAGAGCGUGUAGGCGGCCUUAUAAGUCGGCUGUGAAAGUCAAGGGCUCAACCCUUGAAUGCCGGCCGAUACUGUGAGGCUAGAGUCCGGAAGAGGCGAGUGGAAUUCCUGGUGUAGCGGUGAAAUGCGCAGAUAUCAGGAGGAACACCGAUGGCGAAGGCAGCUCGCUGGGACGGUCCUGACGCUGAGACGCGAAAGCUGGGGGAGCAAUCAGG
rnacentral:rRNA from 1 species